GUUUCCGUAGUGUAGUGGUUAUCACGUUCGCUUUACACGCGAACGGUCCCCGGUUCGAGCCCGGGCGGAAACA
rnacentral:tRNA from 1 species